CUACGGGCGGCUGCAGUAGGGAAUAUUGGUCAAUGGACGAAAGUCUGAACCAGCAACGCCGCAUGUGCGAUGAAGGUCUUCGGAUCGUAAAGCACUUUUCGGAGAGAUGAGGAAGGACAGUAUCUCCGGAAUAAGGAUCGGCUAACUACGUGCCAGCAGCCGCGGUAAAACGUAGGAUCCGAGCGUUAUCCGAAUUUACUGGGCGUAAAGCGCGUGCAGGCGGUUUGGUAAGUUGGAUGUGAAAGCUCCUGGCUCAACUGGGAGAGGCCGUUCAAAACUGCCAGAAUAGAGGAUGGUAGAGGGAGGUGGAAUUCCGGGUGUAGUGGUGAAAUGCGUAGAUAUCCGGAGGAACACCAGUGGCGAAGGCGGCCUCCUGGACCAUUCCUGACGCUCAGACGCGAAGGCUAGGGUAGCGAACGGGAUUAGAUACCCCCGUAGUC
rnacentral:rRNA from 1 species